rnacentral:rRNA from 1 species
AUACGGAGGGUCCGAGCGUUAAUCGGAAUUACUGGGCGUAAAGCGCGCGUAGGUGGAUGUAUAAGCCAGAUGUGAAAGCCCUGGGCUCAACCUAGGAACUGCAUUUGAAACUGUACGUCUAGAGUAUGGUAGAGGUGAGUGGAAUUUCAGGUGUAGCGGUGAAAUGCGUAGAGAUCUGAAGGAACAUCAGUGGCGAAGGCGACUCACUGGGCCAUUACUGACACUGAGGUGCGAAAGCGUGGGUAGCAAACAGGAUUAGAAACCCUAGUAGUCC